AGCGAACGCUGGCGGCAGGCCUAAUACAUGCAAGUCGAGCGCACCUUCGGGUGAGCGGCGGACGGGUGAGUAACGCGUGGGAACGUGCCCUUUGGUACGGGAUAACUGAGGGAAACUUCAGCUAAUACCGUAUGUGCCCUACGGGGGAAAGAUUCAUCGCCAUUGGAGCGGCCCGCGUUGGAUUAGGUAGUUGGUGAGGUAAAGGCUCACCAAGCCUACGAUCCAUAGAUGGUCUGAGAGGAUGAUCAGCCACACUGGGACUGAGACACGGCCCAGACUCCUACGGGAGGCAGCAGUAGGGAAUCUUGCGCAAUGGGCGAAAGCCUGACGCAGCCAUGCCGCGUGUAUGAUGAAGGUCUUAGGAUUGUAAAAUACUUUCACCGGGGAAGAUAAUGACGGUACCCGGAGAAGAAGCCCCGGCUAACUUCGUGCCAGCAGCCGCCGCCGUAA
rnacentral:rRNA from 1 species